rnacentral:lncRNA from 1 species
CAACUUAAAAAUAACAACUUUUAAUUUAACAGAUAAAAGCGAGAUAAAAGGUGUGGUUUCAGUUUUGGAACAUAUCAAUUAAUGCGUAACUACUCCCCCUUUUGUCAUUAUCAAAAAGUAAAACAAAGUUAUAUAACCAAGACAGUCAAAGAGAAAGGAGAGUGGUUGUUACAAAGGUGAAUUAAAUUCAAAAACGAAAACCAACGCGCUCAAGGGUUUAUAAAAACUGAACGAGUUAACAUGCCUUCUUCACGUAAAAACAAGAGUAAACAAGUGAAGCAAGAGAAAGUAGGAAUAAUGAAAAGAUUUAGUUUACGCAUUGCAGAGUUUAAGAGAA